rnacentral:SRP_RNA from 1 species
GCUGGGUGUAGGGGCGUGCACCUGUAAUCCCAGCCACUCGGGAGGCUAAGGCAGGAGAAUCGCUUGAACUCAGGAGGCAAAGAUUGCAGUGAGCUGAGAUCUCACUACUGUACUCUAGCCUGGGUGACAGAGCGAGACUCUGCCUCAA